UACGUAGGUGGCAAGCGUUAUCCGGAAUUAUUGGGCGUAAAGCGCGCGCAGGCGGUUCUUAAGUCUGAUGUGAAAGCCCACGGCUCAACCGUGGAGGGUCAUUGGAAACUGGGGAACUUGAGUGCAGAAGAGAAAAGCGGAAUUCCACGUGUAGCGGUGAAAUGCGUAGAGAUGUGGAGGAACACCAGUGGCGAAGGCGGCUUUUUGGUCUGUAACUGACGCUGAGGCGCGAAAGCGUGGGGAGCAAACAGG
rnacentral:rRNA from 1 species